rnacentral:rRNA from 1 species
UACGUAGGGUGCAAGCGUUGUCCGGAAUUAUUGGGCGUAAAGAGCUCGUAGGCGGUUCGUCGCGUCGGCUGUGAAAUCCCGAGGCUCAACCUCGGGUCUGCAGUCGAUACGGGCGGACUGGAGUUCGGCAGGGGAGACUGGAAUUCCUGGUGUAGCGGUGAAAUGCGCAGAUAUCAGGAGGAACACCGGUGGCGAAGGCGGGACUCUGGGCCGAUACUGACGCUGAGGAGCGAAAGCAUGGGGAGCGAACAGG